CCUACGGGAGGCAGCAGUGGGGGAUAUUGCACAAUGGGGGAAACCCUGAUGCAGCGACGCCGCGUGAGCGAUGAAGUAUUUCGGUAUGUAAAGCUCUAUCAGCAGGGAAGAAAAUGACGGUACCUGACUAAGAAGCCCCGGCUAACUACGUGCCAGCAGCCGCGGUAAUACGUAGGGGGCAAGCGUUAUCCGGAUUUACUGGGUGUAAAGGGAGCGUAGACGGCGAUGCAAGCCAGAUGUGAAGGCCCGGGGCUCAACCUGUGGCCUGCAUUUGAAACUGUUUUUCUUGAGUACUGGAGAGGCAG
rnacentral:rRNA from 1 species